rnacentral:rRNA from 1 species
UUAAGUUACUAAGGGCGUAUGGGGGAUGCCUUGGCAUGAGCAGGCGAUGAAGGACGUGGUAAGCUGCGAUAAGCCACGGGGAGCUGCAAGCAAGCGUUGAUCCGUGGAUUUCCGAAUGGGGCAACCCGGCCGGUUGAAGACCGGUCAUCCCGUGCUGAAUACAUAGGCACGUGGAGGCGAACCCGGGGAACUGAAACAUCUAAGUACCCGGAGGAAAAGAAAACAACAGUGAUUCCCUGAGUAGUGGCGAGCGAAAGGGGAACAGCCCAAACCGGUGUGGUUUCGGCCACGCCGGGGUUGUAGGGCCUGCAUUACGGGACCACGCGUCGAAAUCGAAGCUGUCUGGAAAGCAGCGCCAUAGAAGGUGAAAGCCCUGUAGGUGUAAGACAACUGGCCCGGCAGUGUCCCUGAGUACCACGGGACCGGAGAAAUCCUGUGGGAAGCUACCAGCACCAUCUGGUAAGGCUAAAUACUCGCUCAUGACCGAUAGCGAACCAGUACCGUGAGGGAAAGGUGAAAAGAAUGCCUAGUGGGCAAGUGAAAAGUACCUGAAACCAUACGCCUACAACCAGUCGGAGCCCCUGUCCCCUUUGUGGGACGUGUGGGGUGACGGCGUGCCUUUUGCAUAAUGAACCUACGAGUUACUCCUCACUGGCAAGGUUAAGGCCCUCAGGGCUGGAGCCGUAGCGAAAGCGAGUCUGAAAUAGGCGACAGAGUCAGUGGGGGUAGACGCGAAACCGGGUGAGCUACCCUUGGGCAGGGUGAAGCGUAGGUAAGACUACGUGGAGGCCCGAACCGGUGUCUGUUGAAAAAGGCUCGGAUGACCUGAGGGUAGGGGUGAAAGGCCAAUCAAACUCGGAGAUAGCUCGUACUCCCCGAAAUGUAUUUAGGUACAGCGUCACGGUAGUCUACUGGAGGUAGAGCACUGAUAGGGCUAGGGCCCUUCACCGGGUACCAAACCCUGACAAACUCCGAAUGCCAGUAGUACGGUCCGUGGCAGUGAGGGCGCGGGUGAUAAGAUCCGUGUCCGAGAGGGAAACAACCCAGACCGACAGCUAAGGUCCCCAAGUCCAGGCUAAGUUGAGCAAAGGGGGUCGGACUGCUUAGACAACCAGGAUGUUGGCUUAGAAGCAGCCAUUCAUUUAAAGAGUGCGUAAUAGCUCACUGGUCGAGCGGUCCGGCAUCGAAAAUUUGCGGGCAUCAAGUCUGGCACCGAAGCUUCGGACUCAGGUUCUGCCUGAGUGGUAGGGGAGCAUUCCAGCGGCGCCGAAGCCAUCGCGUGAGCGGUGGUGGAGCUUCUGGAAAAGAAAAUGUAGGUAUGAGUAACGAUAAGACACGUGAGAAACGUGUCCGCCGUAAGCCUAAGGGUUCCUGAUCAACGUUAAUCGGAUCAGGGUUAGUCGGGACCUAAGCCGAGGCCGA